GUAUCUCAGUAGAGNGUAUGAUUGGUAAGCAUAAGGCCCUGGGUUCAAUUCUCAGC
rnacentral:tRNA from 1 species